rnacentral:rRNA from 1 species
CCUACGGGAGGCAGCAGUGGGGAAUAUUGCACAAUGGGGGAAACCCUGAUGCAGCGACGUCGCGUGAGUGAAGACGUAUUUCUGUGCUUUAAGCUCUAUCAGCAUGGAAGAAAAUUACAGUACCUGAAUAAGUAGCCACGGCUAACUUCGUGCCAGCAGCCGCGGUAAUACGUAGGGGGCAAGCGUUAUCCGGAUUUACUGGGUGUAAAGGGGGCGUAGACGGGAGGGGAAGUCGGUAGUGAAAUUUCAUGGCUUAACCAUGGAACUGCAUUGGAAACUGGGCAGCUAGAGUGCAGGAGAGGUAAGCGGAAUUCGUGGUGUAGCGGUGAAAUGCUUAGAUAUUAGGAGGAACACCAGUGGCGAAGGCAGCCUACUGGACUGUAACUGACGUUGAGGCUCGAAAGCGUGGGGAGCAAACAGGAUUAGAUACCCCAGUAGUC